rnacentral:rRNA from 1 species
CCAAUAGCGUAUAUUAAAGUUGUUGCAGUUAAAAAGCUCGUAGUUGAACUUCAGGCCUGUCCAGAUGGUCCGCCUUAAUUGGUGUGUACUGUCCUUGGGUGGGUCCUACCUUCUGGCGAAGCGGCAUGGCCUUAGUUGGUUGUGUCGGGGAACCAGGACUUUUACUGUGAAAAAAUUAGAGUGUUCAAAGCAGGCAUAUAUGCUCGAAUACAUUAGCAUGGAAUAAUGGAAUAGGACGAUGGUUCUAUUUUGUUGGUUCUAGGACCGUUGUAAUGAUUA